rnacentral:rRNA from 1 species
AUUGAACGCUGGCGGUAGGCCUAACACCUGCAAGUCGAGCGGGGCGGCUGACGGGUGAGUAAUUCCUAGGAAUCUGCCUGGUAGUGGGGGCUAACGUCCGGAAAAGGGCGCUAAUACCGCAUACUAUCAGAUGAGCCUUGGUCGGAUUCGCUAGUUGGUGGGGUAAAGGCGUACCAAGGCGACGAUCCGUAACUGGUCUGAGAGGAUGAUUAGUCACCAUGGACCGGAGACUCGGUCCAAAGUCCGACGGGAGGCAGCAGGGGGGAAUAUUGGACAGUGAGCGCAAGCCUGUUCCAUACCUGCCGCGGGUGUGAAGAUGGUCUUCGGUAUUUAAACCAUUUUAAGUUGGGAGGCGUUACCAACAGAUUAAGCGCCGGCUAACUUCGUGCCUGCAGACGCGGUAAUUC